GGCGGCCCGCGUCGGCGUCGGCGGCGUCCGGAGCGUUUGUACCGACGCUGACGGCUGGAGGUGUAAGGUCAAUUGGUUGCGGAGGAUCGUGCGGGUGGCAGAGAUGCCAAGUAGUCCUGCGGCUCCCAGACGGCAACCAAUUACUUCCUCUGCUGAAGUCUUGAACCCCUGAAAGUCAUCCCUGAGGGUUGGAGUUAACUUCUUC